UGGGGAAUAUUGGACAAUGGGGGGAACCCUGAUCCAGCCAUGCCGCGUGUGUGAAGAAGGCCUUAUGGUUGUAAAGCACUUUAAGCGAGGAGGAGGGUACUGGUAUUAAUACUACCAGGUACUGGACGUUACUCGCAGAAUAAGCACCGGCUAACUCUGUGCCAGCAGCCGCGGUAAUACAGAGGGUGCGAGCGUUAAUCGGAUUUACUGGGCGUAAAGCGUGCGUAGGCGGCUAAUUGAGUCGGAUGUGAAAUCCCCGAGCUUAACUUGGGAAUUGCAUUCGAUACUGGUUAGCUAGAGUGUGGGAGAGGAUGGUAGAAUUCCAGGUGUAGCGGUGAAAUGCGUAGAGAUCUGUAGGAAUACCGAUGGCGAAGGCAGCCAUCUGGCCUAACACUGACGCUGAAGUACGAAAGCAUGGGGAGCAAACAGG
rnacentral:rRNA from 1 species